AUUAUUACAAUACGAGAAAACAAUGUUUUCGUGGGUUUUCGUAAAUACCUCGGAGAAUUAGUUAUUUACACGCAAUCUUGUUUAUUUAUUUAUUAAUAAUAUCAAGAUAAUAAUAUAUAAAUGGAAGACGUAACGUUUCUGAAACAAAUUAACUGGCAGAUUAAUAAAUGAGUACAAAUAUUUUCGAGAGCAAACUUGGCCCUGCAGAAAAACAAACGAACGUUUCAUUUAAGAAGCUUUCAUCUUCGUUAAGAUGUAAAAAUAUAAUAUCUGAAUAUCAAUUUAUUUCGAAUGCCUAAUUAAGAGAGCGUGAUACACUCAUGACGUGUUGUAUCCACCUUAUAAACGUCGAUAUAGGAAAUGUGCGUUCAGCAAGGGCACCAUUGUACUUUUUGUUUUAAUACAAAAGUGGAUUGAUCCAUUA